rnacentral:rRNA from 1 species
GACGAAGGGGCUAGCGUUGUUCGGAAUUACUGGGCGUAAAGCGCGUGUAGGCGGUUGUCCAAGUUGGAUGUGAAAGCCUUGAGCUUAACUCAAGAAAUGCAUUCAGGACUGGAUGACUAGAGGACCGGAGAGGAUAGUGGAAUUCCAGUGUAGUGGUGAAAUACGUAGAGAUUGGGAAGAACACCAGUGGCGAAGGCGGACUAUCUGGACGGU